rnacentral:rRNA from 1 species
UACGGAGGGUGCGAGCGUUGUCCGGAAUCACUGGGCGUAAAGCGCACGUAGGCGGACUCUUAAGUCAGGGGUGAAAUCCUGGAGCUCAACUCCAGAACUGCCUUUGAUACUGGGAGCCUUGAGUUCGAGAGAGGUGAGUGGAACUGCGAGUGUAGAGGUGAAAUGCGUAGAUAUCUGGAGGAACACCGGUGGCGAAGGCGGCAUCCUGGACCGACACUGACGCUGAGGCGCGAAAGCUAGGGGAGCAAACGGG